rnacentral:rRNA from 1 species
UGGGGAAUAUUGCACAAUGGGGGAAACCCUGAUGCAGCAACGCCGCGUGAAGGAUGAAGGCCUUUGGGUCGUAAACUUCUGUCCUUGGGGAAGAUAAUGACGGUACCCUUGGAGGAAGCCCCGGCUAACUACGUGCCAGCAGCCGCGGUAAUACGUAGGGGGCAAGCGUUAUCCGGAAUUAUUGGGCGUAAAGAGUACGUAGGCGGUUUUCUAAGCGCAGGGUUUAAGGCAAUGGCUCAACCAUUGUUCGCCCUGUGAACUGGGAGACUUGAGUGCAGGAGGGGAAAGCGGAAUUCCUAGUGUAGCGGUGAAAUGCGUAGAUAUUAGGAGGAACACCAGUGGCGAAGGCGGCUUUCUGGACUGUAACUGACGCUGAGGUACGAAAGUGUGGGGAGCAAACAGGAUUAGAUACCCUGGUA